GCCUCUGUAGGUUAGUGGCAGACCUCAGCAAUGGUAAUGCUGCAGCACGAGUUCGAUUCUCGUCGGAGGCAUCA
rnacentral:tRNA from 27 species